UACGGGGGGGGCAAGCGUUGUUCGGAAUUACUGGGCGUAAAGGGCUCGUAGGCGGCCAACUAAGUCGGAUGUGAAAUCCCCAGGCUUAACCUGGGAACUGCAUCCGAUACUGGAUGGCUUGAAUCCGGGAGAGGGAUGCAGAAUUCCAGGUGUAGCGGUGAAAUGCGUAGAGAUCGGGAGGAACACCCGUGGCGAAGGCGGCCUGCUGGGCCGAUCCUGACGCUGAGGCGCGAAGGCGUGGGGAGCGAACGGG
rnacentral:rRNA from 1 species